rnacentral:misc_RNA from 1 species
GAAAUGCGAUAAGUAAUGUGAAUUGCAGAAUUCAGUGAAUCAUCGAAUCUUUGAACGCACAUUGCGCCCGCCAGUAUUCUGGCGGGCAUGCCUGUUCGAGCGUCAUUUCAACCAUCAAGCCCCGGGCUUGUGUUGGGGACCUGCGGCUGCCGCAGGCCCUGAAAACCAGUGGCGGGCUCGCUGUCACACCGAGCGUAGUAGAUUCUCAUCUCGCUCAGGGCGUGCUGCGGGUUCCGGCCGUAAAACAGCCUUAUUUUACCCAAGGUUGACCUCGGAUCAGUUAGGAAGACCCGCUGAACUUAAGC